UUAUUUAGUUUUUUAUAAAAUUAAAGCUGCUAACUUUGAUUAGGGGUUCUAUCUCCAAAAAAC
rnacentral:tRNA from 1 species